AGAGUUUGAUCAUGGCUCAGGAUGAACGCUAGCGGCAGGCUUAACACAUGCAAGUCGAGGGGUAUGGUUCUUCGGAACCAGAGACCGGCGCACGGGUGCGUAACGCGUAUGCAAUCUACCUUUCACAGAGGGAUAGCCCAGAGAAAUUUGGAUUAAUACCUCAUAGUAUUAUGGAAUGGCAUCAUUUUAUAAUUAAAGUCACAACGGUGAAAGAUGAGCAUGCGUCCCAUUAGCUAGUUGGUAAGGUAACGGCUUACCAAGGCUACGAUGGGUAGGGGUCCUGAGAGGGAGAUCCCCCACACUGGUACUGAGACACGGACCAGACUCCUACGGGAGGCAGCAGUGAGGAAUAUUGGACAAUGGGCGCAAGCCUGAUCCAGCCAUGCCGCGUGCAGGAUGACGGUCCUAUGGAUUGUAAACUGCUUUUGCACAGGAAGAAACAACUCUACGUGUAGAGUCUUGACGGUACUGUGAGAAUAAGGAUCGGCUAACUCCGUGCCAGCAGCCGCGGUAAUACGGAGGAUCCAAGCGUUAUCCGGAAUCAUUGGGUUUAAAGGGUCCGUAGGCGGUUUAGUAAGUCAGUGGUGAAAGCCCAUCGCUCAACGGUGGAACGGCCAUUGAUACUGCUAGACUUGAAUUAUUAGGAAGUAACUAGAAUAUGUAGUGUAGCGGUGAAAUGCUUAGAGAUUACAUGGAAUACCAAUUGCGAAGGCAGGUUACUACUAAUGGAUUGACGCUGAUGGACGAAAGCGUGGGUAGCGAACAGGAUUAGAUACCCUAGUAGUCC
rnacentral:rRNA from 1 species